AUACGUAGGGGGCGAGCGUUAUCCGGAUUUAUUGGGUUUAAAGGGUGCGUAGGCUGUUCGGAAAGUCAGGGGUGAAAGCCCGGCGCCUAACGCCGGAACUGCCUUUGAUACUUCCGAGCUGGAAUACGGAUGCCGUGGGAGGAAUGAGUAGUGUAGCGGUGAAAUGCAUAGAUAUUACUCAGAACACCGAUUGCGAAGGCAUCUCACGAAUCCGUCAUUGACGCUGAGGCACGAAAGCGUGGGGAUCAAACAGGAUUAGAUACCCUGGUAGUCCACGCAGUAAACGAUGAUGACUAACCGUCGGCGAUACACAGUCGGUGGCCAAGCGAAAGCGAUAAGUGCCCCACCUGGGGAGUACGAUCGCAAGGCUGAAACUCAAAUGAAUUGACGGGG
rnacentral:rRNA from 1 species